AUGUGUGUCACUUAGCGGCGGCACCAUCAGUCAGCUUCAGUUCAAUAUCUGACAAGGCUAUCUUUUA
rnacentral:rRNA from 1 species